UACGUAGGUGGCAAGCGUUAUCCGGAAUUAUUGGGCGUAAAGAGCGCGCAGGUGGUUGAUUAAGUCUGAUGUGAAAGCCCACGGCUUAACCGUGGAGGGUCAUUGGAAACUGGUCGACUUGAGUGCAGAAGAGGGAAGUGGAAUUCCAUGUGUAGCGGAGAAAUGCGUAGAUAUUAGGAGGAACACCAGUUGCGAAGGCGGCUCUCUGGACUGUAACUGACACUGAGGCACGAAAGCGUGGGGAGCAAACAGGAUUAGAUA
rnacentral:rRNA from 1 species